rnacentral:misc_RNA from 1 species
GAACGCACCUUGCGCCCUUUGGUAUUCCGAAGGGCAUGCCUGCUCGAGCGUCAUUUCACCACUCAAGCCUCGCUUGGUAUUGGGCAACGCGGUCCGCCGCGUGCCUCAAAUCGUCCGGCUGGGUCUUCUGUCCCCUAAGCGUUGUGGAAACUAUUCGCUAAAGGGUGUUCGGGAGGCUACGCCGUAAAACAACCCCAUUUCUAAGGUUGACCUCGGAUCAGGUAGGGAUACCCGCUGAACUUAAG